rnacentral:rRNA from 1 species
AUACGGAGGGUGCAAGCGUUAAUCGGAAUUACUGGGCGUAAAGCGUACGUAGGCGGUUAUUUAAGUCAGAUGUGAAAGCCCCGGGCUUAACUUGGGAACUGCAUUUGAAACUGGGUAACUAGAGUUUAGUAGAGGGGAGUGGAAUUUCAGGUGUAGCGGUGAAAUGCGUAGAGAUCUGAAGGAACACCAGUGGCGAAGGCGACUCCCUGGACUAAAACUGCCGCUGAGGUACGAAAGCGUGGGUAGCAAACAGGAUUAGAAACCCUAGUAGUCC